GGGACUCCUGUUUAAAACACGGAUAGUUCCAGCGCCGAGUCAUUUUGAGUGUUUUCGAGACAUCCUUGCCGGUUUUUCAGGUUGGAGAGGAGUGAUGGAGUUACUGGUGCAGCAAUGGAGUGAUUGAUAAAGCAGUGGAGGGGAGCAGUGGAGUGACUGGUGGUGUGAUGGAGAGGAGCAAUGGAGUGGCUGAUGGAGCAGUGGAGAGGAGGGAUGGAGUAACUGGUGCAGCGAUGGAGAGGAGCAAUGGAGUGACUGGUGUAGUAAUGGAGUGGCUGAUGGAGCAUUGGAGUAAAUGACGCAGUGAUGGAGUGGCUGAUGCAGUGAUGGAGAGGAGCGAUGGAGUGACUGAUGUAGCAAUGGAGUGGCUGAUGGAGCAUUGGAGAGGAGCAAUAGAGUGACGGGUGCAGUGAUAGAGUGGCUGAUGCAGCGAUGGAGCUUUCGGGGAGCCAUAGAGGACUACUGAAGCAUUGGAGUGGAUGGGGGAGCCAUUGAGAGACUGGUGGAGCCUGCCAUCCCUAUUAGCGGUGGAGUGAUGACGAAGCUGCUGCACUGACAAAAAAGGCCUGCAGCGAUUACUGAAGACAGCUGAGAGGAUUGUUGGCUCUCCCCUCCAAACCUGAGCAACAUCCUCUGGAGCCGCCUCCUCAGACUGGUCACAAACAUCCUGCAGGACCCCUCACACCCUGGAACCCCCCUCUUCACCACUCUCCCCUCAGGCACACUGAGAAGUCCUAGCCCUAGCACAUGCAGGUUAUGGACCAGUUUUUUCCCCAGAGCUGUGGACAGGGUGCAGAACUCACAACACCACAGACAAACACACACACCCACUCACACACGCGAAAACUGUUAACCCCCCCCGGAACAAAGACCGUCGUGUGUCCCAUUCCAUCUAUUUAUUUAUACAUAUAAUUAGUGUUUUUCACCACAUAUUUUUAA